UGGGGAAUUUUGCGCAAUGGGCUAACGCCUGACGCAGCAACGCCGCGUGGAGGAUGAAGGUCUUUGGAUUGUAAACUCCUGUCAGCAGGGAAAAAGCGAAUCGGCCUCAUACGCCGGUGAGUUGAUUGUACCUGCAGAGGAAGCCCCGGCUAACUCUGUGCCAGCAGCCGCGGUAAUACAGAGGGGGCAAGCGUUAUUCGGAAUUAUUGGGCGUAAAGGGCGCGUAGGCGGCCUGGCAAGUGGAAGGUGAAAUCCCUCGGCUUAACCGAGGAACUGCCUUCCAUACUGCUUGGCUUGAGACCAGGAGAGGUGAGUGGAAUUCCCAGUGUAGCGGUGAAAUGCGUAGAUAUUGGGAGGAACACCAGUGGCGAAGGCGGCUCACUGGACUGGUACUGACGCUGAGGCGCGAAAGCGUGGGGAGCAAACGGGAUUAGAUACCCCGGUAGUCCACGCCGUAAACGAUGAGUGCUUGGUGUAGCGGGUAUCGACCCCUGCUGUGCCGAAGUCAACACAUUAAGCACUCCGCCUGGGGAGUACGGUCGCAAGGCUGC
rnacentral:rRNA from 1 species